rnacentral:rRNA from 1 species
UACGUAGGGUGCAAGCGUUGUCCGGAAUUACUGGGCGUAAAGCGUGCGCAGGCGGUUUUGUAAGUUUGUCGUGAAAGCCCCGGGCUCAACCUGGGAAUUGCGAUGAAGACUGCAAGGCUUGAAUCUGGCAGAGGGGGGUAGAAUUCCACGUGUAGCAGUGAAAUGCGUAGAGAUGUGGAGGAACACCGAUGGCGAAGGCAGCCCCCUGGGUCAAGAUUGACGCUCAUGCACGAAAGCGUGGGAGCAAACAGG